rnacentral:rRNA from 1 species
UACGAAGGUGGCAAGCGUUACUCGGAAUUACUAGGCGUAAAGGGCAGGUAGGCGGUUCGGUUAGUCUGUUGUGAAAGCUCCUUGCUUAACGGGGAGAGGCCAACAGAUACUGCCGAGCUUGAGUAUAGGAGAGGGUACUGGAAUUCCCGGUGUAGCGGUGAAAUGCGCAGAGAUCGGGAGGAACACCAAUGGCGAAAGCAGGUACCUGGACUAUUACUGACGCUCAGCUGCGAAAGCUAGGGGAGCAGACAGG